CUCACACAUGUUUGAGUCUGCAGAUGCUGACGCCAGCCUUCACUUCCGGCGCGGGCUAUAGCUCGUUUAAAAUCCAGUCUUAUUUUAUCAUUAUCUAUUAAAUUCUGUUGAAGUUUUAUCUAAAACUUAAGCUCCAGUGAACCGCAAUGUUCCUCUCAUGUUGUAUGUACAGACUAUUUUGUGAUUAUCUAAUUAAUCACAGAAAAUGUUAGCUCGAUUUACUACUUUAAUGAAAAAAUGAUAAUUUUAGACGGGAUAUGUUUAAUGCUACUCUGUCAUGUGUCAGCCUAUCAACAUUCAACAUUCAUCGAGCUGUCGCGGCAAUGAGAGAGAAAUCCCGUUCAAUUUCAGAAGCAUGCAGGUCCUCUUUUCACGGAUUCUGUUUGUUUUCCUAUUUAGUUCAGUAUCAAAGGGACUCAAAGACACGGCAGCAAUCUUCACCAUUCUCACGGCAUCAGUACAGAUCAGCCAUUUCAUCUCAGUGAUAAGCAUUUUCAUAGUUUUUGCCUUUGAUGUCGAUUAAGUGUAAAAUCGUAGGCUACUCUUUUGCUCUCUUUACACAAGCAGUAUUAUGCAAUCGCACGUUUUGUUAGAGACAGAGUGAGUUGUUCAACGAGAGCGCUCGUCGUGCUCGUUCGCAUUGUAACUUUUAGCACGUUAAUGAUCCACAUGAAAGAAUGGCGUACAAUAAUCGGCUCUAUCGUUGCAAGGCUCGGGGAAACCCCAAUCAUGGUUUAACCUUAAAGACACACACACACACACACACAAAUGAACUGGUGUGGUUGUAACAAUUAUGGUAACACUGAGCCAAAAAACUCAAAUAAGAGGUUGAAAUCAGAUCUGAUUCUGACCCAGAUUGAUUGAUGUAACCCGGGUAACCCAGGCUACUAGUAAAGAGAAAAAAAGUUAAGAAAAGGAAAAAAAAUCUAGAAGGAAAAAGAGAUUCAUCCAAUCACUGAUCGUGCUGCAGUGAGAGACACCCUUAACAGCCAAUAGUAGCGGCGCAUUCAUAAGUCCCGCCCACUGGUCGCGCCGGCGCUGUUUUCAGCGUGAGCAGAUGAGAGAGAGAGAGAGAGAGAGAGAGAGAGACCAGCACAGACCAGCACAGACCCUUUCUCCAAAAAAUCCAUUAAUCUAACUGGAAAUGUGAUUGAGUGCACUGAAAGUGGAGCUUUUGAAGUCGAUGCGUCAGCCUGAAGUGUUGAAGAGACGGAGAGAGAGAGAGAGAGAGAGAGAGAGAGAGACGGAGCGGAUCCCGGAGUGUUGAACUACCCAAAGGAAAAGGACAGUGAUUCCCAAACCACAGAGAAAUGAAAGACUGUUGAUGAGUAUCAAACACAACCUUGACAGAGACUCAGAAGAGGCUGAAAAAAAUGGAGGAAAACAAAAAAUUGAGAAAUUACAACAAAAAAAAGCUACCAAAUCUGAUAAAUGAAGUGAAGAUGGCCCUGAAGUCUCAGUGUUCGUCAGCAUCAGUCAGCUCUGACUUGGAAGGUGGGACAGGAUUUGCCACAGAGUAAUUACAGAGCCCUUCCAACAGAACAGUCUGGACUCCACUGAUGGUCAGAGUGAAAUCACUGCCAGAUCCACUGCCACUGAAUCUAGAUGGAGUUCCUGACUGGAGGCUGUUGAUCCGAUAAAUCAGGAGUUUAGGAGCUUCUCCAGGUUUCUGCUGAUACCAGGCUAAC